GACGAACGCGGGCGGCGUGCCUAAUACAUGCAAGUAGAACGCUGAAGGAGGAGCUUGCUUCUCCGGAUGAGUUGCGAACGGGUGAGUAACGCGUAGGUAACCUGCCCGGUAGCGGGGGAUAACUAUUGGAAACGAUAGCUAAUACCGCAUAACAGUAGAUAUUGCAUGAUAUCUGCUUGAAAGGUGCAAUUGCAUCACUACCAGAUGGACCUGCGUUGUAUUAGCUAGUUGGUGAGGUAACGGCUCACCAAGGCGACGAUACAUAGCCGACCUGAGAGGGUGAUCGGCCACACUGGGACUGAGACACGGCCCAGACUCCUACGGGAGGCAGCAGUAGGGAAUCUUCGGCAACGGACGGAAGUCUGACCGAGCAACGCCGCGUGAGUGAAGAAGGUUUUCGGAUCGUAAAGCUCUGUUGUAAGAGAAGAACGAGUGUGAGAGUGGAAAGUUCACACUGUGACGGUAUCUUACCAGAAAGGGACGGCUAACUACGUGCCAGCAGCCGCGGUAAUACGUAGGUCCCGAGCGUUGUCCGGAUUUAUUGGGCGUAAAGCGAGCGCAGGCGGUUAGAUAAGUCUGAAGUUAAAGGCUGUGGCUUAACCAUAGUACGCUUUGGAAACUGUUUAACUUGAGUGCAAGAGGGGAGAGUGGAAUUCCAUGUGUAGCGGUGAAAUGCGUAGAUAUAUGGAGGAACACCGGUGGCGAAAGCGGCUCUCUGGCUUGUAACUGACGCUGAGGCUCGAAAGCGUGGGGAGCAAACAGG
rnacentral:rRNA from 1 species